GGGGGGACAGGGUCGUGGGGCAUCCUUGCCUGGAUCUGGGUGCUACUGUGCGCAUCCUUGCCCGAUCUGGACGCCUCCGCGCGCGUCCGUGCCCGAUCUGGACGCCUCCGCGCGCGUACAUGCCGCAUCUGGCCGCCACGAUUGAGGAUUGGUGGAGGAGCACGGGAAACGGCUUGGUUGUGGAGCAGGGGAAGGGAGCACGGGGCGGCGCCGUUGUGGCUGGAGCAGGGCUUCACUUCGAGGGUGGCGGACACGGCUGCAUCGUGUAGGUGGUGGAGAAGGACGACCGUGCGCCCCGGCGUCCUUUGUGUGGUGGCAGUCAUGCGCAGUGCCACGUCGAGACUGGAUGAAGCACGGGCGACCGUUGUGUCUAGGAGAUAUGGAAAUUGCAGCACCGUGCAGCUACAGUCCUGCAGCAGGUUGACGGGCGAAUGGUCAUAGCGGGAAGACAACGGGCAUGUCGACUGCUGCGAGUAUUCCAUUCUCGUAGACAACUACAUUUGCAUGAUGAGCAAGAGGUUGGCAACGUUGCUACAAGGCUGGACAAGUCACCUAGUGAAAUCAUUUGCUUCACCUGUUCCGAAGACCAUACAAGUUUUUUUUUUUACUUUAUAUUGUAUUGACCUGAAAGGCUACAAAGUACAUCUGAUAAAUUAGGAUGAACUUUUCAUAUGUACUCCCUCCGUUCCUAAAUACUUGUCUUUCUAGGCAUUUCAACAAGUGACUACAUAUGAAGUAAAAUAAGUGAAUCUAUACUCUAAAAUAUGUCUACAUACAUCCGUAUGUGAUAGUCAUUUGAAAUGUCUAGAAAGACAAAUAUUUAGGAACGGAGGGAGUAGCUAGUAUGUGGCACAUAUCUUACUUGCAGAAAUGAUUUAUUACUAGGUUUGUAAUAUACAAAUGUGAAGCACAUAUGUUGAAUGUUCUAUUUUUGGGUAUGAAUGGAUUGCAAUGCUGAGUUGAGAUA